GUUAAAAAUAAAGAAAUUAUUGGAGUUAUCUUAUCAUUUCUAUCUAGUCCCAAUAGGCUUGAUGAUUUACCAAUGAAUCGCGAAAUGCUAUGGUUCUUACAUAUAAUUUCUGAAUUUAUUCAGAAGUAAUUCGCGAGAUCAUGCAUCUCUCUUUCCUAGUUAUAACGGAAAAGGGUAAAGGGUACAGCUGGGUGGUCCAGCCUAUUCUUGAAAUAAACAACUCGCACACACUCCCUUCCAAAAAAAUCAAUACACCAAGCACUACACUUAGAUUUAUUGGAUUUAUCUCGUCUUAACAAUGAAUCAAAUGAAAGUGAAAGAAAUCGAAUUUCACACCUUUUUCC
rnacentral:lncRNA from 1 species